rfam:Rattus norvegicus chromosome 10, whole genome shotgun sequence.
GGGGAUUUAGCUCAGUGGUAGAGCACUUGCCUAGCAAGUGCAAGACCCUGGGUUUGGUCCCCAGCUCCG